UUUGCCUCAAACUACUGUAGGACGUGAAGCCUGACAUAGCAAAGCCUGCUAGAUGGUCAUAGAACCUGCAUCAACAAGGAUUUCCAGCAGACAUCCCAAAGAAGACAAUGAAAAGGAUGGGAGGCGUUGUCUGACAAGGAAGAAGUCCCUUAGUUUGUCUGAGAGUUCUGUUAAGCAAGGAAGAGAAAGAGGAGUAACCAGAGAAGUACAGAAACCAGUAAAGAUGAGAAUCAAAUCAGUGAUUACAGGAAGGAUAUCCCCGAAGAAACUUUUUCCAGAAAGAAGGCAUCCAAACAUGGCCCGGCUGCCAGAAUGAAGGAUCUUGGACAGAGCGAUACUCGUCAUCCUGAGAGAAAAGUUGGACAUGUUUUCCCUGUCAUCAGGACAAAGAGAGUAUGCCCCUGGAAGGACUUUCAGAGAAAGGCAUUCACCUGAUUAUGUUAACUCAGAUAAAAUGGUAAACACAAAUGAUCAAUUGGAUACCAUUGAUUUUCGAUCAGAAGAUUUUAAUGCCGGGUACAGGGAAAUUGGUAAAACACCGGCAUAAAAAAUCUUAUGGUCGUAAAAGAGAAUGGGGGUGAUGUAAUGAUUCUGGAAAGGAUGAGAGAAAGAAGGCUAAGAGAAAGAAGAAUCAAGAAAAAAAGGCUAUGGAAG